rnacentral:rRNA from 1 species
CCUACGGGAGGCAGCAGUGAGGAAUAUUGGUCAAUGGCCGAGAGGCUGAACCAGCCAAGUCGCGUGAGGGCAGACGGCCCUACGGGUUGUAAACCUCUUUUGUCGGGGAGCAACGCGAGUCACGUGUGACUCAUUGAGAGUACCCGAAGAAAAAGCAUCGGCUAACUCCGUGCCAGCAGCCGCGGUAAUACGGAGGAUGCGAGCGUUAUCCGGAUUUAUUGGGUUUAAAGGGUGCGCAGGCGGAGGUGCAAGUCAGCGGUAAAAUUGCGGGGCUCAACCCCGUACUGCCGUUGAAAAGGCAUCCCUUGAGUGCGCGAGAAGUAUGCGGAAUGCGUGGUGUAGCGGUGAAAUGCAUAGAUAGCACGCAGAACUCCGAUUGCGAAGGCAGCAUACCGGCGCGCAACUGACGCUCAUGCACGAAAGCGUGGGUAUCGAACAGGAUUAGAUACCCCUGUAGUC